GUCUCCAUGGGGUCCCUAUGUGUCUCUAUGUGUCUCUAUGUGUCCCUAUGUGUCUGUAUGUGUCCCUAUGUGUCCCUAUGGGUCUGUAUGUGUCCCUAUGUGUCUCUAUGUGUCCCUAUGUGUCCCUAUGUGUCUGUAUGUGUCCCUAUGGGUCCCUAUGCGUCCCUAUGUGUCCCUAUGUGUCUCCAUGGCGUCCCUAUGGGUCGCUAUGGGUCGCAAUGUGUCCCCAUGUGUCAGUAUGUGUCCCCCUGGUGGCUGUGUGUCUCUAUGUGUCUCAGUGUGUCUCUAUGUGUCCCUAUGUGUCCCUAUGCAUCUGUAUGUGUCCCUAUGGGUCUCUAUGGGUCCCUAUGGGUCCCUAUGUGUCCCUAUGUGUCCCUAUGUGUCUCUAUGUGUCUCAGUGUGUCUCUAUGUGUCCCUAUGUGUCCCUAUGUGUCUCCAUGGCAUCCCUAUGUGUCUCCAUGGCAUCCCUAUGUGUCCCUAUGUGUCCCUAUGUGUCUCCAUGGGGUCCCUAUGAGUCGCUAUGGGUCGCUAUGGGUCGCAAUGUGUCCCCAUGUGUCAGUAGGUGUCCCCAUGGGUGGCUGUGUGUCUCUAUGUGUCUCAGUGUGUCUCCAUGUGUCUCUAUGUGUCUCUAUGUGUCCCUACGUGUCUCUAUGUGUCCCUAUGUGUCUCCUUGGGGUCCCUAUGGGUCGCUAUGGGUCCCUAUGUGUCCCUAUGGGUCCCUAUGUGUCUGUAUGUGUCCCUACGUGUCCCUAUGGGUCCCUAUGGGUCUCUGUGUGUCUCUAUGGGUCCCUAUGUGUCCCUAUGUGUCUGUAUGUGUCUGUAUGGCUCUCUAUGUAUCCCUAUGGGUCUCUAUGGGUCUCUAUGGAUCUCUAUGGGUCACAGUGGCUCUCUACGUUUCUCUAUGGUUCUCUAUGUGUCCCUAUGUGUCCCUAUGUGUCCCUAUGGGUCCCUAUGUGUCCCUAUGUGUCUCUAUGGGUCUCUGUGUGUCUCUAUGGGUCCCUAUGUGUCCCUAUGUGUCUCCAUGGCAUCCCUAUGUGUCUCCAUGGCAUCCCUAUGGGUCCCUAUGUGUCGCUAUGUGUCCCUAUGUGUCCCUAUGUGUCUCUAUGUGUCUCUAUGGGUCGCUAUG
rnacentral:lncRNA from 1 species